GUCACGUGACACCCGAUCCCGGAACUGAGCGCCCAUGAGGAAAGAUGGCAGCCUCCAUUCCGCUCGCUUUCUGGAAACCCUGCGCUAGCUGAGCACAGUCACAGAGAUGAAUGGGUAUGCGAACGGAUAGCUCUCUCCAGGAUAUUUAUUUUGAAGGGCUUCUGAAGAACAGGAGAGUGAUUAGAAGAGGAAAGUAGUGAUGGGAAGUCUGAUUCAUUUCCAGUUCUUUCGGACAGUUAGUUUCCAUGAACCGGUUCAAAAACCGAUUCAGCGGUUCUUUUACGCCACCAGGAUAUUUUCUGACCGCCCGCUCCCGUCCACAUCUCAUGGAAUCACCAUCCGCUCCUGCCUUCAACUCAGAAAUGUAAUCCCACACCGCAAGAAACAACCUGCGGGAGUUCUGCGGGAAUGCACCUCAGUGUCCUGUCACCAGUGCUUGAAGUGAACAGGACAGUAAUCUCUUCUAUCCCAACUAGAAAAAAAUUAAGGAAGUUGUUUUUAAAGCACUGUUUAAUUAAAUAAUCAAAUUACCUUUGGCAGUCCAAAUAUAUGGCUAAAUUGAAUAGCCUAAACAAAACUGAAAUCCAUGCACAUUCUUUAUGUGCAGGCCAAUGAUAAGAUUAAAAAAUAUAUUCAAUAUCUUCUUUAUUGUCUCAAAACAAUACAAAAUGUAAAAAAUAAAUGUUAUUUGUAGUCUUCUCUGUUUUGUAGUAUUAACAUUUAAUAACAGUUAAUCCAUUAUUUAGCUAAGUAACAUUUGACUAUUAAAAAUUCCUGGAAAUGUACAUAUCUUAUUAUUAUUAUUGUUAUUAUUAAUAUCAGGGAUGUUGAGUAACACUUGAAUGAGUCUGUGCCCCACAUGGGCCACCCCUGUCAAAAAAGGUCUGGACACGCCACUGCUACAAAUUUAAGUCAUUUAAGCUAUAUUAUUAAAUAGCAGACUUUGAAUUUAUGUUGAAUAUAAGGACUGCCUUUUUUAUAACCUACCCCAGUAGUCGACCAGCUGGAUAAGUUGUAAUACUAGUUAUUUGAAAGAAUGGGGAAAAGAAGCAAAAACAUUUGAUCACAUUAUACAGUAUGCACUGUAACAGCUUUAAUGUGAACGACAUAUAACAACAUAUAAAUAUAAGAUCAGCAUGAAUGUGUAUGUGUAGGUUGUGUUUGUGAAUGUGUUUGACAUUUAAAUAGUAGAACACUGUAAAAAAUGAGUAACAUUUACAUAAUUGUUAUUUGCACAGUUUUUCUAAGUAAACUGUAAUGGUAUAAAUUAAGUAAAAUCUACUUGACUUCAUUACAUAGUAUUGAUUAAAGUACAUUUCACUUAAACAUUUCAGUUAAAACAGUAACUUUUUCUUACAAAUCUGAUGUACAUUUUAGUCAAAUUUAAAUGAACAUUUUAUUGGAACAUUUCACAUUUUUAACUUUCCUUUUAAACACAAGUUUAAUCAUGAUCUACCACAUGACAUGACAUAUGGAAAUUAUCCACAGGAAAGAUUAAAGGGUUAGUUCAUCCAAAAACGAAAAUCUUCUCAUCAUUUCCUCACCCUCAUGCCAUCUCAGAUGUGUAUUACUUUCUUUUUCUUUUACAAAUUGUCUUCCCUCCCCAGAAGGGGGCAAUAUGCACAAAGAAUGCAAAUCGCCAAAAACAAAAGAAGAAGAAUGUGAAAGUGAAAGUGGAGAUAUAUAGUAAAAAAGGACUCGCUUGCAUUGUAUUACAGAGCUGAGAUAUUUUUAUAAAAAAAUGUGUUUAUUGUUCUGCAGAAGACUGAAAGUCAUACACAUCUGGGAUGGCAAUGAUGAGAGAAUUUAAAUUUUUGGGUGAACUAUUCCUUUAAUGCAUACUAUUUAGUCUAUUUAACAACAUCACCUUGUAUUACAGGCAAUGAAAAAAGAAACAGGGCUGUGCACGCAGACCUCAACACUUGGUGUGCAAUACACGAUGACGGUAACAAUCAAAAGCUAUUUUUUUUUUUAAUCAUGAGCAGGUAAUUUUGAGUAGAAAAAUCUACAAUAAAAACUGCAAAUAAACUUGCAAACAGUGAAACCAUGCAAGCUCAUUAAUUAUUCAAGCUCUGUGCAUGCUUGGAACACCAUCUUUCAAAGUUAAGUAAAAUUUACUUAUUCAAGUUACCUGUGAAAUGUUCUCAAAUUAGCAAAUAAAUAUGACACGGUUUUCUACUUGAAGACUGAUACAUGAUGCUCCUUGUAAAGAUAACAAACAAUCAUUAAUAAUAUUUCAUUAUAAGCUAGAGCAUUACUUUUUGAAUUUUUGAAUUUAAGUAAAAAUGUAGAAUUUACUUAAAUGUUUCAAUUUCACGCUUAAACUGAUUCAAUGUAAAAAGAAUUUAAUAUUUUCAGAUUGAUUUACUUAAAUUGUUUUCCGAUGUGCACAGUUUCUGUAUUUAUACAGUUAAAAGAAAAAAAAGUGUAACUGCUGCCACUGUAACCCAUAUGGGAGUGCCCAACUAAACCUUUCUUUUAGCUGCUGUAAAGAUUUACAUUGUACAAAGUGGCCAGGCUUUAACAACAAACCUUACUGAUUUUUGCCUGUCUUCAAGUGCAGAUGUUGAAUGUUUGCUUAAACCCCCGUGUGCAUCUUGUAUUUCAAAUGUCUUGGCAUAUUGAAAAAUCAACUGCUGUAAGUUAUAUUACUGGCUUAGAGUGUAAACCAUAAAACUACACAUGACAUAAGAUUUAGGAUGGUACAGUUCUAUGAUGGGAGUAGAGAGACAAGAGCAGACACACUGUGGGUUUAUGAGGUAAUUUACUUUCUUUCCAAACUUUGUCUCAGGUUUUCCACUUAAUGGUUGCUGCUACGUCAGCUUUACCCUUGUAUCCUACACAUGGAAACUUUGAGUCGUUCCAUAUGUGCAGUUACACGAAGCUUUAAGAUCAGGGGGUUCCUCACGUUUGUGGAAAUGUAAAGCAAACAUCUCAGCAACAGCUUAGCAAAUGCUAAGUUGGCUGUGGUGGAUGCCAUAUGUCACACUCUGGCAUUUUUACUGCUAUUUCAAUAUGAUCUGACAAUACAAUUAACAUUGAUUUAAUCUGUUUUGACUUUACAGUUUGUGACCCAGUUAUUUUACUUCAUCUCAGUGGAAAGACAGUGCGCAGGUUGUUUUAAAAUUGUGGGCAAUUACAAGCAUGUAAUUUACUUUAUUAAUCAUGCGAGCAUGCUUAUAAUACACCUUCCCAACCCAAUUUCUCUCAAGCUACAAGAGCAUAUCUUGGCCUAAGGCACAUUUCAACAAUGGAGCAGAGCCAUUUUCCCUCAGGAGAAAAACACCAUUUAAGGGUGGGCUUUCUGUAAAGUUUCUCUUACUCUCACACAUCUUCACCAUUACCUUGUCAUGUAAUAAAUACUUUUACUUUACAUUCAGAGACAGUGACCCGUAUCUCAGAUUCCCUCAUAAAUAUCAUGAAGAGGGUAUUCUAUCUUAAUACCUGUUCUCUGCAGACAUACUUUGACAAAACAAAGGUCAAACUGCAAUGUUGUCCCUUCAUCUUUUAGCACAAAACAAAAGUUUGUUCACAAGAUCUAUAGCUAGCACACUUAUUUAAAAGAUGUGCUCCCUUGUCAACAUACACAUAUUGAAAUUGUGGUUAAAUCUCUGUCUGUCUUUGUCUCUGUGGUGUAAAUGGACACCAGUUAUAGGCCAAAAGGGGCUGCCACUUCUUGCCCAUGACUGCUGACAGGGUGAGGAAAUAUGAUCCAGUGACUAUAAUACUCCAAAGUAUGUUCAACGGUUUUUUUGGGGGAUGGCUGACUGACUGGGAGUGAGAGAUGAUUUGCCGAAGCAACGGCACAAAACGUAACGUUAGAGAUAUUUUAUGUUAUUAUGAGAAGUGCAAAAAUAUUUUCGGUUCAUUAUGAAACUGGCGGGACAAAUUAGACUGUGGCGGGCUAGGUAAUUAAUGGGAAACACUGUAUCAG